CAGAAAGAGGCACUUUCCCAGCACCCCUGAUAUGCUGCCCAGGUAGUGCUCUCUGGCCUUGCUGGCAGAGAGGUGUUUCCUCCCUCGCAGGACCAGAUGUGUCUGUUGGAACUCUGUAAACCUCCCUCAUCACGGGGAAGUUAUUUCUCCCUUCAUUAGGGUUUAUCUGCUGUGAAAACCUGCUCCCCCUCCCGGACUCCCCCAGAGUCCUGAUGCCAUCAGUCAUGACAAUGGCUCAUCCCAGCCGUGCUCAUCGCAGCGAGAGGCUCAUUGUCCCCGUGCUGGGCCAUAUGGCCUCCUGCCUUAAUGCUGCCCCACACACAGGCUUCUGCUCGAGGAGCAGCUGUGGAAAGGCUUAGUGGAUCUCCCCAGGGUCAGCCAAGUGUAACAUCCAUGAGGAAAAGCACUAGACCACUGUGUGGCAAGAGGAGGCAGCAGGAGUGCGGGGCUGGCUCUCUGGAGCAUCCUCCGGCGCUGUCACCGUCCUCCUCCUCACCCAGGAGCAACAGUGCAGAAAUGCAGCUGCCCCCGGGGUGGAGGGCAGCAGCAGGACAGCAUCACAGGGCUCAGGGAGAGCUUAGGGAGGUCUUGGCUCCUGCUGGGCUCAGCUGUGUGUCUGGGACAAAAUUAACGUGCUGUGAUCUUUUCAUCCUCGGCAGAACUCUGCUCCUGCAUCCACCCGAGUGACCUCGGGCUGUGGGGAUUGGCUCCCUGGGAGCUGAAGGCAGCUGUCAGGUGGAAGAUUUCUUGGGCUUGUUGCACUGACCACAGGGCUGGGACCUUCACCUGCGAGGGUUCUUAGCUCCUGUAUCGGCAUGAGGAUGAGUGUGAGUGCUGUGGAUGGAGGAAGGAGCAGACUCUGCUCCCUGGGGUGUGUGACUUUGGAGAGGAAGGAAGGCAAAUGUGUGCCCCUGGUUGGUUUAUUCCGACUUCCUCAGCUGGGAAUUGGGCUGCUGGUGCAAUGUGCACACUGGUGUCUCCCCAGGCACCCCUUUGGCAUCCUGUUGGGCCCCCCUUGGCUUGGUGGUGCUGCAGGAGGCUGCCCUGGUCUCUCUGAGAGUCAUCCUGCCACCUCCCUGGGAAAGAGGCAGGAAAAUAGGGUGAGGUUAACCUUUAUUACAAGGCAGAGCUCAGCAGGAACAAACAGUGCAGCUUUUGGGCAAAUAGGUUGCACAGGACUGUCUGUCAUCACUUUCUUGUUCUGCUCUCUCCCUCCUCAAUUGAACUUUGUCUGCUUGUAGCAAGGAGCUUGUCUCUAGGGCUUUUCAGGUGGUGAAGUUGCUGGGUCAGGGGUGGUUGUAGCUCUUGCAUCAGCCUGUGUUGUGGAAGUGAGCAGCCCCUGAGUGCUGUGGGUGCUGGGGGGCAUGUGGGAGGAGGAAAGGGCUACCAGAGGGUGCAGAGACUAGAGAUUAGAGGUGUGCUGUGGGUAAAGACAGCUCUUUACUUGGGAUGGGGGCCCUCCAUACCUUUGCACUCCUCUUCCCCUGGUAUCUGUUUUCUCCUCAGCGACCUUAUGGGGAGACCCAGGAUUGUUGCUUUCCCAGUGCAAACAGAGGCCUGGCUGGGUAAGUACAAAAUCGUCCUGUAGGAAGGAGGAUGGUGUGCUCGUGGUCCAUCAGUUGAUGCUGUCUCUGUCACAAGGCAGGAUGGAGAUGUGCUUGUGGCUGCCCAUGAGCCCUGGACACUCCCAGCUCCAUCCCCAGAGCCCCUCCCGGGGGGAAUGUCUGACAGGUAAGAGCAGAGCCCAGCCCUGGCAGGAUGGACCUGCCCAAAUCACUGCCUGGAAGGUUUGGCAGUGUCCAUAGGGUGUGUCUGGAUGCUGCUGGAGAUCGGGAAUGCUGUAGAAUGAACCGUCCUUGGUUUGCUGUGAUAAUGGCUGCAGGACUGUGGUAUGUUGGAUGCACUCCUUGAGUUAACUGAACUUUGGGCCAAGCAGGUGCUCAGCAACUCACCCUGAUCAACAUUAAUCCUGCUGUGCGUGGCUACCAGUGAGAACUGAGCACCAACCCCAGAAAAGCACAGUUUGGCUGGAGUCUGGGCUGACAAGAGGCUGAGAGAUCCCUUACCUGGCACCAGACAUCCAUGGGCACUGAGCUGGGAUCGAAUCACCGUGGAACUGUACUCCAUCCUUUAGAACACCGAGUAUGGGCCCAGCAAAAUGGGAACAAAUGGCAAACUGUCACUGCUGACACAUGUGCUGCGUGGAAACAACAAGGAUUUAUUUGUGAAUGUAAUACUGUUGAGACCCAAGACAUUUGUCUUGACACCGAACAAAAUGUUUGUCAUUUUGAAAUACAUCCCAGUGAGACCUCUGAGACUGUACUUGUGUGUGUUGGGACUGGAUGUGUUUGCAUGAGAGUCCUUUGUGAUUCUCUAUUUAUAGACAUCACCACUGUAUAUAUACACAACCCCUCAAACAUAAGUAUUUGUUAUUUCACUAAAAUUAUGAGAUGCAACUUUAACUACUGAGCUCCUUUCAUAACCCACUGUGUCCCAGACAGAGUGAAAAAAGAUGAAAAAUAUCACUGUGAGAAAAUCUGCUUGGAUAGUCACCAACAGCAUCUGGAGCUUUGAAUUUGAUGUUACACCUAAUUGUAGCCUUGUUAAUCAUUGUAGUUUUGUGUUCAUUGUUCUACCUUUGUUUAUAUGUCACAUUACAGUGCUUAUAUCAGUGUAUAAUAGCUAUGAGUGAACAUGUGGGUACUAAAGGAUCAGCAGAUCUGACAUUAUCUUAUUUACCAGCCUAUUACCUACUCAAUAAAUUAACUUCUAGCUCAGA